GACGAACGCUGGCGGCGUGCUUAACACAUGCAAGUCGAACGGGAUCCGGGCUUUCGGGUUUGGUGAGAGUGGCGAACGGGUGAGUAACACGUGAGUAACCUGCCCCCUUCUUUGGGAUAACGUCGGGAAAUCGGCGCUAAUACUGGAUAUUCUUGCUGCAUCGCAUGGUGUGGUUUGGAAAGGGUUUCUGGUGGGGGAUGGGCUCGCGGCCUAUCAGCUUGUUGGUGGGGUGAUGGCCUACCAAGGCUUUGACGGGUAGCCGGCCUGAGAGGGUGUCCGGCCACACUGGGACUGAGACACGGCCCAGACUCCUACGGGAGGCAGCAGUGGGGAAUAUUGCACAAUGGGCGCAAGCCUGAUGCAGCGACGCCGCGUGAGGGAUGACGGCCUUCGGGUUGUAAACCUCUUUCAGUAUGGAACAAGGAUCCUUCUUUUGGGGGGUUUGAGGGUACGUGCAGAAGAAGCGCCGGCUAACUACGUG
rnacentral:rRNA from 1 species